rnacentral:rRNA from 1 species
AUUGAACGCUAGCUGCAGGCCUAACACAUGCAAGUCGAACGAGUGGCGGACGGGUGAGUAAUGUCUGGGAAACUGCCUGAUGGAGGGGGAUAACUACCGGAAACGGUAGCUAAUACCGCAUACCAUCGGAUGUGCCCAGAUGGGUUUAGCUAGGAGGGGGGGGAAAGGCUCACCUAGGCGACUAUCCCUAGCUGGUCUGUGAGGAUGACCAGCUACACUGGAACUGAGACACGGUCCAGACUCCUACGGGACGCAGCAGAGGAGAAUAUUGCACAAUGGGCGCGAGCCUGAUGCGGCCAUGCCGCGUGUAUGAAGAAGGCCUUCGGGUUGUAAAGUUAUUUCAGCGUGGAGGCGUUACCCGCAGAAGAAGCACCGGCUAACUCCGUGCCAGCCGCCGCGGUAAUAC